CUUUCAUGAUGUAAAAAAGUUUUUAUUCAGUUCUGCUUCUGCAAAUACAUUGAAGAAAACUCAACCAUACCAAACCUUCUGAUAC
rfam:Aspergillus parasiticus ST-1 367, whole genome shotgun sequence.